rnacentral:rRNA from 1 species
AUUGAACGCUGGCGGCAGGCCUAACACAUGCAAGUCGAACGAGUGGCGGACGUGUGAGUAAUGUCUGGGAAACUGCCCGAUGGAGGGGGAUAACUACUGGAAACGGUAGCUAAUACCGCAUACCAUCGGAUGUGCCCAGAUGGGAUUAGCUAGUAGGUGGGGUACCGGCUCACCUAGGCGACGAUCCCUAGCUGGUCUGAGAGGAUGACAAGCAACACUGGAACUUAGACACGGUCCAGACUCCUAGGGGAGGGAGCAGUGGGGAAUAUUGCACAAUGGGCGAAAGCCUGAUGCAGCCAUGCCGCGUGUAUGAAGAAGGCCUUCGGGUUGUAAAGUACUUUCAGCGAGGAGGCGUUACUCGCAGAAGAAGCACCGGCUAACUCCGUGCCAGCAGCCGAGGUAAUUC